CCUACGGGGCGCAGCAGGGGCGAAAACUUUACAAUGCGGGAAACCGUGAUAAGGGGACACCGAGUGUCAGCAUCAUAUGCUGGCUGUCCAGGUGUGUAAAAUACACCUGUUAGCAAGGGCCGGGCAAGACCGGUGCCAGCCGCCGCGGUAACACCGGCGGUCCGAGUGGUGAUCGUGAUUAUUGGGUCUAAAGGGUCCGUAGCCGGUUUGGUCAGUCCUCCGGGAAAUCUGAUAGCUCAACUAUUAGGCUAUCGGGGGGAUACUGCCAGGCUUGGAACCGGGAGAGGUAAGAAGUACUACAGGGGUAGGAGUGAAAUCUUGUAAUCCCUGGGGGGACACCUGGGGCGAA
rnacentral:rRNA from 1 species